CACAAUCUGAAAAAUGGAAACAACCUUGUUCUAGUUUGCAUGAUUCAUGUCUUGUGAGUUCUCAUUUUCAUCUAAGCAAAAGAGUGCUUGGUGCCAAAGAUAUACUAGCUCUAUCUCCCUAAGAUAAAGAGUUAGGAGUUAUUAGACAAAAAACUCCAUAUUGCAAUGAAUGAGCUUAGGUCUCAAACCCAGUAAAAUAGCCCAAAAAUAAAUUGGAGGAUAUGUUCUGUCUCAACUAAAAGUACAUUUACCUUUUAUAUUAUACGCUCAAUGCUCAAGAAAGCCAACUGUGGAAGCUCACAACUGGCUAUGUGGGAUGAUCCCAUGGAAGUUGAGCUUGAGAAGCUUCUAAUUCCUCACAUAAAGGAUGUUUCCCAGAACAGAAUCAAGAAGAUUAUUGAAUCCCCAGUACACAUUUCCAGGCGCCACAUAAUCACAGUGAAACCAAAACAGAAACGACAUAUGUUAUUUGAUUUCAAGCGCAAAACUCAGGUGCUGCUUUCACCUGAAAUGGAAGACUAGAUGAGCUCUGCUGGAAAUCUCACUAGCUAACGGGGUUUAUUGGUCAGAAAAUGGAUUUCCGACCAACAUACCAACCAAAAUGAUGACCCGGAAAAUGGUCAUCAUAUGGGUAUUUCCGUCCAACAUCAGAUGUAAACUCCACGGCUCAAGCAUUACGGAAACUAGAAACUAAGGCAACUAUAUGAAUUGAAAGUUAAACUAGUUACUAUAUAUCAACGUCAAUGUUAAUCCACAUCGUAGAAACUCUGUCAUUCAUAAAUAUAUUGCUAGAAAAGAAAAAAUAAUGUUCAUGAACAACAUGGUUAAAAAUUACUCCAAUUAUAAUAUGGAGUAAAUGUUUGUAGUUGUUGGAUAUUAGUUGUUGGCUCGGUCUAAAUUUAUUAUCGUUUUUGGAAGUGUACUUUAAAUUGUACUCCGUAGUAAAUAAGUCUUAUUUAAUGUAGUUCAAAUCCUUUGAUGACAUUAUAUACAUGACAAUUUUUUUUU